ACAAAAUUGAAUUUUUUGAGUCGAAGUGCCCAUCUUAUAAGACGACUAGACGUUUUAGUGCUGUUCAUUACCCACUGUAAGGAGGCAUGGGUACGGCUUGCAUAAGCGAUCACCUCCUCGUGACCGACUCCCUUCUUUUGGGCCAGGAUUGCACCCAAUCCCACGUCACUGGCGUCUGUAUAUACAAGGAAAGGAAAAUCCAGGUCAGGAUGUCCCAGAAUGGGAGGAGAGAACCUUUGGAGGCAGAAGUCACAGACAUUUUUCCACCAUGCGGUUCCGGCUUUGGAGAUCUUUGC